CUACCUCCUAGGAGGGCCCUUCAUCAUCAAAGAAGUCAUCUAGCUAGGCACCUAUUAUCUCCAAUGGGUAGAAGGCUCAGGCGUCCCCAAUCCAUGGAACAUCAAACAUCUAUGGUGCUUCUACCCUUAGAUCUAAAAGCUAUGGACUCUAUUUUUCCUUUUUAUUGAAUAAGUAAAACCUCUGAGUUUCUUUGCGUACAUACUGCCUUACUGUUCCUACGUCCGAGCUGUUCCUGACACUUGGGGGCUAUCUGACUUGUUCGACAUACCACUCGCUCUCAAGCUCAAGGGCUUCUUUAGGCGCCGACCUCUGUGUCUCACAUCCUUUUCCUCCCCCUCUCAAGGCAAUACGACUAACUCGUGUGGUCGGCGUUCUAGCUCAUGAAACCUAGACAACCUUGUGUUCACCCCU
rnacentral:lncRNA from 1 species